AGGAGAUAUAUCAAAAUAUGGAAAAAAAAAAUCAAUUUUACAAGGACAUAAAAGCAUGCCACGUCCUACCUUAGAAUUGAGGUGAGUCCUCAUAGUCUCUUCAGUCAAACAGACAAUUUGGGGGCAAAUACGACACUUAUAAACUGAUUUGAAUUUUAAUAAAAAAUCUGGCAUAUCAGCUCGUGGUGAUUCCUUUUGGGCUACACCAUUAAGCUCUUUAUUGAGAAUACAAGCACCAUGUUUACCAGAUAUUCGAGGGCCAACAGGAAUUUGCUUUUCAUUUCCAGUCCCAUCAUCUUCAUUUAUAAAACCUUAUGAGCUAAUAUCAACCGCAUCAGUUGAAAUAUCCUCACUCUUGUAUCCGGACGAUAAGGAGCAGGAUUCAUCAUUCUCUUUCGCCUCUGCAGCCGCAGCAUGAUCAUCUGAG
rnacentral:misc_RNA from 1 species